rnacentral:lncRNA from 1 species
CGCGACGUGUUUCGGUUUCCCGCGGAGUACGCGCCUGCCCACGCCGCGCUCUCAAUCGUCGUCGGGGCUGGUCAGGGGUCUCUUCUCCCUGGCAAGCUGCCUCGUCGGCCGCUUUCGUGCUCGACUGCACCGUCUAGGAGAGAGAGAAUCACGCCGCCCGGCACCACCCAAACAGGACCGGCGCGAUCGGCAGCUGCAAUGGAGUCCUCCUCGCCCGCAGCGGCACAUCGGAUGCACCUGGACCUCUCACCGCCGCCACCGGGGGUCUGCUACCAGCGCGUCUUUUUAUUCACUAGCUGUGCCAUGUGUGCUUCCCGAAAGCGACGUCGCCGACGCGACCGGCGUUGAACGCUUCCGCUGCCUAGCGUCGUCCCCAGAGCCUGCGCGUCUUGAUUGUACUGUGCGCGCCGGAGUACGAAGCGCGCGUUUCAAAAAGAAGUCUUCUUCUCGAGGCGACGGUCGUGGUGCCCACUUCCGAGGCGAAGCUCUACGUCAACUCUCCUCGUCCACUGCAGCGAGUGGCUGCGACAUGGCAGCUCGAGCGGUUGCUGGUGGACUCUUCGAUUAGACCGGCGCUAGCCUUUGGUCAUGCAUCGCGAGGCGUCACCGGCCGAUCAUGAUCGACCCCAAGGUGUUCGUCGCAUUGCUCGUGCUAUCCACGGCGUUCAUCGUUGCUGCCAUCGUGGGCGCAGUUUGCUUUCUAUGCCGUGUCCUCAAGAAGGAUUCUCGCAGGAGGCUCAAGGACGACUAUGUCAUCGUACUUGAUGGUACGGAACCGCCACCUCCGUAUACCUGGAGGAGUGUGCGUUCGGAUGGACGUCGUCAAUAAAUAGUCUUCUUCUCUUCUCCGCGGAGACCUAAAAAAAAAUGCAAGUCACUGAGAUCAUCGGGAGCUGCUUGCAUAUCCAGGAGGCACCAGCGACACCGCACCCACGUCACCGCCAGCCCACUCUGUUGCAACACGGCACGCCUCGCAAGUCACCGAAGACGGCCUCCUGUCGGCCGCACGCCUUUCAAUCGUUCACACACAACCGCAUUUCACAGGUGCAUCUGUCUGUGCAUUCAUGAACAGUAAAAUUGCUUGUGAAGCAAACGAACUGACCGCCUUCGGUCCUUUUUUAAAUGUGAGCUGUAGUUUCUUUUCACUAUCGUCAUGCGGCAAGUUUGAAACAGCAAUGAAUUCACAACUGCAGCACAGUAAAUGGCAAAGUUGGACUCUACAUUUCGUGCGAUGUGUUAGUGUCUGGUCUGUCCGUUUGGAAACCCCCCGGCACUAAACUAGAGGAAGUUAAAAAAUGGGGUGGCAUCUCGCAAACCUACAAUAAAACGUUCUCCCAAGACUAUAGGAAUAAAAAAACUGCGCAGUACUAGCCUAUGGAAUGCUCGUAAAAGUGUGCACAAACUGUUUCGCAGGCCUGCAACUGCAGUACUGGUCAAUAU